UGGGGAAUUUUGGACAAUGGACGAAAGCCUGAUCCAGCAAUGCCGCGUGUGUGAAGAAGGCCUUCGGGUUGUAAGCACUUUUGUCCGGAAAGAAAUCCUUGGCUCUAAUACAGUCGGGGGAUGACGGUACCGGAAGAAUAAGCACCGGCUAACUACGUGCCAGCAGCCGCGGUAAUACGUAGGGUGCAAGCGUUAAUCGGAAUUACUGGGCGUAAAGCGUGCGCAGGCGGUUUGCUAAGACCGAUGUGAAAUCCCCGGGCUCAACCUGGGAACUGCAUUGGUGACUGGCAGGCUAGAGUAUGGCAGAGGGGGGUAGAAUUCCACGUGUAGCAGUGAAAUGCGUAGAGAUGUGGAGGAAUACCGAUGGCGAAGGCAGCCCCCUGGGCCAAUACUGACGCUCAUGCACGAAAGCGUGGGGAGCAAACAGGAUUAGAUACCCUGGUAGUCCACGCCCUAAACGAUGUCAACUAGUUGUUGGGGAUUCAUUUCCUUAGUAACGUAGCUAACGCGUGAAGUUGACCGCCUGGGGAGUACGGUCGCAAGAUUAAAACUCAAAUGAAUUGACGGGGU
rnacentral:rRNA from 1 species